GAGUUUGAUCGUGGCUCAGGAUGAACGCUGGCGGCGUGCCUAAUACAUGCAAGUCGAGCGAACAGACGAGGAGCUUGCUCCUCUGACGUUAGCGGCGGACGGGUGAGUAACACGUGGAUAACCUACCUAUAAGACUGGGAUAACUUCGGGAACCGGAGCUAAUACCGGAUAAUAUAUUGAACCGCAUGGUUCAAUAGUGAAAGACGGUUUUGCUGUCACUUAUAGAUGGAUCCGCGCCGCAUUAGCUAGUUGGUAAGGUUAACGGC
rnacentral:rRNA from 1 species